CCUUCUGGACACUCGAGAACUUUCCAGGAGCCUCCAGGGAUGGUACUGAACACGAGCCAGCAAGAGGAGUGGAUACAAGAGGGGGACGAGCGGAGGCCCUCUCCUCCUUUUUUCCUUCCCCGCACGAGACCGGACGGAGCGGCGGAGGUCUCAGACUAGCGGCUGCCGGGAGCGCUCCGCGUGGAUUCGCGGCCGAGGAUCAGAGGAAGUGAAAAAGAGCUCUCAUUUCUCUUCACCACCUUCUCUGUAUAUUUGCUGAGCAUUCUAGUAAAGAGGAGCGUAACUUUGCAUCUGGUGACGGGUGGCAAAAGGCCCUGGGACGUGACUGUUCACUCUGAAGUCCAAUAUGCAGAGGAAGUUAGAACUGAAGUAAGCCUGCUAAUACCAGGAAGAAAGCACUAGCACAGCUGGCAAUAUGCUGGGAAUGUACUAUAAACCCUGAAACCAGGAUCAGCUGAACAAAGCUUACUGGUGAUUUCCAGCUGAGGGUCAGCAGAUCCCUAUACUGAGAUGACUGCCUUUUAUUCAUGAAAUUUCACAGAAUCAUCGAAUUUCUUGUUAGAAAAGAUCUGCCAUAUCAUCAAGUCCAACCACUAACCUCAUACUGCCAAACCUACCACUAAACCAUGUCCAUCAGCACCUCAGCUACACAGCUUUUAAAUAUCUCCAGGAAUGGAAAUUUCACUACAGAGUCACCCGCUGGAAAACAGGAUAAAGGACAAAUGCUAGCUAGUAACUUUUUGCUACUCUUCAGUGAUGACUUUUUGAUUAAAAAAAAAGCUGGAAAAACCAAUCUGGAGGCCAUCAUAACCAGUGAGCUGGAAGGAGCUAGUUAAGAAGGUGAAGCUGAGGAGGACAAGACAGACAGGAGGAAUACCUUUGGACAGGGGUAAAAGCAUAACAAUAAACCAAAAGCAGACAUCUUCAAGGAACAUCCAUAGAAUAUAGGUGAAUAUAAUAAUCUGCAAAUAUAAAGGACGUGGGACAACAGGUUGUAGUGCUGAAGAGGAUUUGGACAUUAUGUCAUAAAGCUGAGCAGGCAUCAAGUGAUGCUAUCACAAAAGACAAAAAAGGCAAUACUCAGGUACACAAGGGAUUUGUUGCCUGUGAAAACAGGAAAUAAUCCAUCUGUUUUACUGUACAAAUUUGUAAGUUAUCAGUCAGUCACUGGAGAGAGAACUGCGUUCAGCCUUGAGAAUCCCAGGCUGGGAUGGAAGCAGACGACUUAAGGUACUAGAAGCGGAUUAGGAAUGAACACAAGCUGAAAAAGCGUAACAUAGGUAGAAAGAGGAAAAAAACAACUACUCACAACUACUUGAUCUAGAAAAGAGGCUGAAGAACAUGAAGAAAAUUCAUCAGAACAGUUUUCAGACACAUAGCAAGGUCCUGCAAAGAACAGUGUCCUCUGUGACCUUCCUGAAUGUCCAUCUGUAAUCAUGUAGUUCCACGUCUGUAAUGAAUAGAACAAGAAGAAUUGGGAUAAAAAUGCAGUAAAGGUCAUUCAGGUUGGAUACAAAAAAUAUCUUUAUCACAGUAAAAUGCUGGUAUUGAUUUCCUGGAAAUAUCAUGACUGCUUUAGAUGAACAUCUCUGUAAUGACACAGAUGCAAUUGGUCUUAGCUGGUACAGGGCAUGGACCUUCUUAGUACUGAAGCUAUUCUCAGAUUUUUCUGGAUUGACAGACCUUCCAAAUGGAACAAAAGUAAUUAGUAUAUACAUAAGAUCUUAAUAUACGGGAGAUUAGCAAAAAAUGCCCACAGAUCUCACUGAACAAAAUUGUGUAGUGUCAUUUUCCAAAUGAUCACAUCACCAUUAUGGCUCUACGUGCUGUAUGUAUAGAGCUCACAAAGCUUAGCUGAACAAGGCCAAUCAAAAAGUACUUUAAAGAUUUGCAGCUAAUUACUGUUUAGAUUAUGGAAUGACAUAAUGGACUAUUGAGCCAGAGCCUCGUUCAGGAUAAUGUAAAUCGUAUCUGCACACACAACCACUCAGCAUUACUGAGCGAUGGGGGCCUCUAUAGUUUGCUGCAACAGUUUGCAAGGUGGAAAUGCUCUUUGGAAGCUUAUUUUAACAUCUACACAUCCCACCCUGCACCAACUUGUCUUGUGACUGAAUCUUUAUUUUGCUACAGGGGAAGAUAUAAUUUGCUAUCACUAUGUGCAGUCACUGGUUCCUUGCAUCAGUGAACAAGAGAGCAGUCAGGGAAGAAAAUACGACUUCAAAAACACUAAGGCGUUUGAAGUGCCCUGGCUUCCUUUACUGUUUGUUCUGAUGAUGUGUUGUCUUGGGAAUGCACAAAAGCAAUAGUUUCUCUCCUGCACCUGUGAUCUGCUUGACACAAGGAGCACUGAUUAGCUAUCAGGGAGCUAUGAAUCAUCUCCCAGUUCUGUUGACCAGUUAAUAUUCACCUCGGGGGGAGGUAACAUGCCAGUGAAGUGCUAAUGUACACCAGAAACUUAACAGCCUGUCUAUUCUGACUGCAGUACCCUAUCCUUCGCUCAUACCCUGCCUCUGAAAUAUUCCCUGUGCAGGAACCCUAUGUUGGUUCCCUGAACUGUAGAAAUGAUGAUUUUCCCAUCAGGAGGAUGCUUUGGUUUUGCUCCUUUCUGACCCAAUUAUGCUGCUUGAAUGUAGCCGACACGGCUGCAUGUGUCUGAAAGGUACCUGCUGAGCUUCGAACAGACCAUCAAAGGCUCUGAACAGUCAAGGUCUGCUGCUAAUGGUCACAACAGGCAACAGGUCCUCCCUUUGGCCUGCCACUUAAAGAAAGGAGAAGGAAAACAGGUGACAUUGAAAAAAGAUGCUUGCUGGUGCAGAAAAAAGGGGAACUGCUGCUCUUAUGUGGGAAGCGACAAAUUGCUGAUAGAGGGGAAGUCUGUAAAGGGCUCCUGAACCUGGAUCCAGCUGCAGCUGGCAACAGGAGACCAUCCUUCUCCAGAGGCAGCUUUGCUGAAAAACAAAGGAAAAAUGUUUGCAUAGGAACCAUGGGCUCAUGGGUACAUAGCAUAGUUAGCUGCCCAACAGCUAACAGUGUUGAAAGGGUUAUUAACAGUGUUACCACUAUUGCUGAUGUCAUGUUUUAUGUCUCUGAAAAAUCUAACCCUGUUUAGCAUUGGUAUUAGGUCUUGUGGAACACCAAAUACAUGAAACAAAGCAACUGGGGCAUCUUAUUUGUUGUAUUUACAUUAUGAAAUGUGCUAAUAGUUUACUAAUUGUACCAAAUUGAGGAACAAGUGAGAAGAACGGAGGCUCAAUGACAUCUUGCAUCUAAUACUCAAGUCCUUUGUACUUAAUACUUUGGUUUGUUCUAACUUUUCCUUUAUCCCCGCUGUCACCAGCAUGCAUUUUAAAAGCUUGCACGGGAUUUAUUCUUUUUGUUUCCAUGGCAGCAAUAAGACUGAUCCCUCAGAUAUGGAAAUCUCCAUUUAUUCUGAAAAUUGUUUCCUGGCAAAAUUGUGUUGGAUCAUAAUCCUGCAAUUGAACAUACCAGAAUUUAAUCUUUACAUAUAUCUUGUAUAGAUUUCUUUUGGUAUGUAGUCAAGGACAGAAACAUUUGGCCUGCUUCCUGGGCUAUCAAUUGUACUAGCUGAUGCUUUUUUUGUGCUUCAAUUUCUAUCUUGAAUUAGGAGUUAACUAUUUUGCUGGCCUUUGGACUGGUAUAACCACGUUUUUGGCUGUGCAGCUUGUGGCAUUUUUGAUCCAGCAAAAUGAAUGCAAAUUUUAUUACUUCAACAGAGGAAAGCAAGAGCACAUCUGCUAUUUAGCAUAUUUGAUCAUUUUAGUUGAAUGAUGAUAGACUUUGCAGAGAAUUAUUUAUCUGGUUUUGUGGAUUCAUCUUCCAAUCAGUUAUUCAAAAAGUUACAGAUGAUAUUUUUGUUGUAUUUAUGUUGAGCCCUAUUUUAUUUUACAAAGCUCUUAAUUAAUCUUGCAAAUCAAUAGGGAAAAAAAGAAUCCCUUUGCCUUUCUUGCUAAGCCGUCUAUUUUAUUUGUAAUUCCUUCUUGUCCUUGAUUAAAAUUGAAAUCAGAUAGACUUGCCUGCAAGCGUGAAGGAAAUCAAGCUUAGACACCUGAGUAGAACUGAAAUUGGACCAGGAAUAAAUGCUUCCAGGUUAGCAACUGCAGUGAGAUAAAUGAGGUGGGGGUGAAGAAAGAGAAGUUCUGUGACCGUGUCCUCAGUGUUUCCUGUGGUCAGCGGCUCUGACUUUCUUUCAUUCACUCUGUACCCUUUCAACUUCUGACAUAGUAAUAGGUGAAGCUGUGAAAUGCCACUCAUUUACAUGUGGGUAAAAUACUGAAAUGACUUACUAAAGGAUCUUAAAGCACUAUAAUUAACCUAUCACAAAAUAUAAUAUACCACAAAUGCUUUUUAAAGUUUAAUCUACUAAUAACGCUCAGCAUGCAUUAACAUUUCCCCCAUUUUUUAUGUGUCACACAUCAGUGGUUAGAUAAACACUCUGAUUACCAUCAGUUUUAUGUCACAUUGAGAGUCCAAGUUGAUAACUGCCAUUAAUCACAAUCUCAGCAGCACGGCACUUUGAACAUAUCUACCACAGAGCUCUGACAGCAGUGACCAAUAAGGGACGUAACUUGUUCUGGUGAAUACAAAAGGAUGUGCUUCAUCGCUUUAUAUCCACAUACCCUUUCAACCACAGAGAACCUCCAAGAACCAUGAAUAUUAGGGAGCCUGUUUGUAUGCUUUGUACUCAGAAGAAGGUUUUUUUAUUGUAAAACAACAAACUAGCUAAAAUACAGACUUACAGUGAUCAAACUGAGAGUGGGUUUGUUCAUAUUCAUUCAUACUUUAUCAACUAUGAUUGAAGCCCUCUGGCCCCUGUGAGGCCAUGUGUUUUCUAGCUGACAGAGGGAGAUAAGCUAUUGCAGGAAAAGCUGUGCACUAACAAACAGGAAAAACAGCAGGAUGGGGAAUAUUACUAUCAGGAAUUGUUCACGACAGAGUUGUGGUCCUGAUUGAACAAUUUUUACAAUGUUCUCAGUUUAACAAUGAAACACCUAUCGAAUAUAAAGCUUCUGAACAGAAGACAAAAUUCAUCAUGAAUUAUUUCAAGCUUCAUGAUUUUGAUAACUUGUCAUGUUUGGGGUUUUUUUUUCUGUUGAGGAAAGGGAGAAACUAGUUUAUGCUUCUUUGAACAUUGAGCUGAUAAUAUUGACUCUACAGACAACUAUACAGAUGUUCUGAGCUAUCAGAUCUGCCACGACUCAUCUGUAAGAAAAUGUGAGUUCAUUCCCAAGCAUUUUGGUGGCUAUCUGAAUGUCUAUAUACAUGCUAUAGUUCCUUUAACAUAUGUCAAAUCCACUGUAUUUAAAAGACUUUUCUUCUUGUUCUCUAGCCACUUCAGUGGUUCAGAUACAACACUGCCCUUUAAUAGGUCACUGAGGAAGCUAAAACUGAAGCAAUUUGAUUGAUGUUCCUCUGUAAUCCGUCAUUAAAUAGGGGCAAGUCAAUCAUUAUUACAGAAUCUCAAGAAUCACAGAAUUCAAGGGCUGGAAGGGACCUUGAACAGUCAUUCAGUCCAACCGCCCUGCCAGAGCAGGACCACCUUAAGUAGCUCACACAGGAACUCGUCCAGGUGGGUUUUGAGUGUCCCCAGAGAAGAAGACUCCAGAACGCACCUGGGCAGCCCCUGCCAGUGCUCCCUCACCUUCACAGUGAAGAAAUUCUUCCUUCUAUUUCUUUGGAACCUCCUGUGUUCCAGCUUACACCCAUUGCCCUUUGUCCUGUCAUUGGCCAUCAUUGAGAAGAGCCUGGCUCCAUCCUCCUGACACCCGGCCUUUACAUAUUUAUAAACAUGAAUGAGAUUGUUAAUGUAAUAAGAAAAAAUUAGGGAGGGAAGAUGAAGUAAAAAAAAAAUCCAACUUUGUUGUGACUUUACAUGUGCCACGUUAAAUGUGCAACAAUUACUACAUGCUAAAACUUUUCAUUUUGUAGCCAAAACUAUCAUUCUGUAUUUCUUACAUUGCUGCUCAUGUGAGAUUAGUGUUGCUGCAUACAACACGUAAACACUAAAAGACAAACUCGCAGAUUUCAGAGCCUUAUGGAAUAAAUUUAUGGGAUGUAUCAAAAGGCUGAAGAAGUGAGAGAAACUGAAAUUUGUUGUCCUUGAAGGUGUUCACAAUCUGGAUACAUGUCACUGUGAAUAGAAGCUGACUUAGCCUAUAUUUAGUCUUCCUAUUUUUAGAUAGGAUAUUAACUUUUAAUUUUUUAAUAUUUACAGGCACUCGUCACCAGUUUAAGUAACUGACCUUCUUUAUAGUUCAUUAAUGUAGAACUUUUUAUUGUCUUUUGAACUGACCGUACUUUUGCCCUGACAUAAAACGAUAACAAUUUUCAUGGCCUGUGAUACUCAGGAGGUCAGACUAGAUUAACUACAGGUCUCUUUUGGCCUUAAAAACCUUUUAUGUAGCAGUUUUUUGCUGGAAAUGUCAUAACAAUCCUGUCUGACUGCAAGUUAUUAAAUUAUAUGCUUAUUGAAAGAUAACUUGGUUCUUAAAAAGUACAACUAAGUAAAAAUUUUGCAUUAAAACAUAUGAAGCAAAUUUUGAGCCCUCUGUCUUAAUAUUUUCUGGCUAAGUUUUUACCUACUAUGCACAGGGACUGUGUUUCUUGCAGGCAAAUGGUAAGGAUACAUUUAAUGUGUGAAUCAUUU